GGUCAGGACGAACGCUGGCGGCGUGCUUCAUACAUGCAAGUCGAACGAUAAGGUCUCUUCGGAGAUACAUAAGUGGCGGACGGGUGAGUAAAAUGUAGAGAAUCUGCCCUAGAGAUGGGGACAACAGUUGGAAACGACUGCUAAUACCCAAUAUGAGCGUAGUUGAAAUACUAUUCUUGAAAACUCCGGUGCUCUGGGAUGAGUCUGCAUCUGAUUAGCUAGUUGGAGGUGUAAUGGACCACCAAGGCGACGAUCAGUAGCUGGUUUGAGAGGAUGACCAGCCACAAUGGGACUGAGACACGGCCCAUACUCCUACGGGAGGCAGCAGUAGGGAAUUUUGCGCAAUGGGGGAAACCCUGACGCAAGCAACGCCGCGUGAAUGAAGAAGCCCUUCGGGGUGUAAAGUUCUGUCAGUAGGGAAGAAUAAAUGACUGUACCUACAGAGGAAGCAUCGGCUAACUCCGUGCCAGCAGCAGC
rnacentral:rRNA from 1 species